rnacentral:rRNA from 1 species
UCAGUAACGGCGAGUGAAGCGGCAAAAGCUCAAAUUUGAAAUCUGGCACUUUCAGUGUCCGAGUUGUAAUUUGUAGAAGUAGUUUUGGGACUGGUCCUUAUCUAUGUUUCUUGGAACAGGACGUCAUAGAGGGUGAGAACCCCGUAUGAUGAGGCCCCCAGUCCUUUGUAAAACGCUUUCGAAGAGUCGAGUUGUUUGGGAAUGCAGCUCUAAGUGGGUGGUAAAUUCCAUCUAAAGCUAAAUAUUGGCGAGAGACCGAUAGCGAACAAGUACAGUGAUGGAAAGAUGAAAAGAACUUUGAAAAGAGAGUGAAAAAGUACGUGAAAUUGUUGAAAGGGAAGGGCAUUUGAUCAGACAUGGUGUUUUGCGCCCUUUGCUCCUUGUGGGCGGAGGAUACGCAGCUCACUGGGCCAACAUCAGUUUUGGGAGCAGGAUAAAUCUGUAGGAACGUAGCUUUCUUCGGGAAGUGUUAUAGCCUAUGGGAAUACUGCUACCUGGGACUGAGGACUGCGUCUUUUGACAAGGAUGUUGGCAUAAUGGUUAAAUGCCGCCCGUCUUGAAACACGGACCAAAA